AACAUUAAUUCCCAAAGUAAUAAAGAUACCAUCAAAAGCCAAAUCUUUACUCUUUUCUGUCAUUCUACUCAACCCUCCAAAGGGGAAAAAAAAUGCAAUCCUUGUUAAACCUCCAUUGCUCCUAUGGCCUUCCUCUCUGUGUUUCAGGGAUUGCCCAUCACCUCACUCUCUCUAAAGAGAUGGCAGAUCAUGAUCGCAGAAGGGAGGCCAUAAAAAGGCAGAGAUCACAAGCCAGAAAAGAACUGCAUGCAAAUCAAGAUUUGGGUACUCGGGGAAACCAUGAGAGAGUGUUUGGAGAGAUCAAUGAAGGAUAACUUUGGCUUAGGCAAUUGUUGUGCCGUCAUUGGGACUUUCAUUCACGAGGUCAAUCUCAUUGCCAAUGUAUCAUUUUCUAAGGUUGAAGUUGCCGCAGACAGCAAUAUAGAGCUGCAAUAGAUGUACUAUGGUUGCUGUUGGUAACUUUGAACCAUUUUUGGUCCAUCUCUUGUUUGCCGCUUUGAAGUAAAGAAGAGAGUGAUUGCAAGCUGAUGUCCUGAAGGGGCUGCCACCUUGGACAACAACAGGGGCUGCCACGAAGGAGGUGGUGAAAACUACCACAAAAUGACCACCAGAGGGCAAAAAGGCCCACAAAAAGGUAGAGAGAAGCUCACACUUGUGCAAAGCUCACAACGAAACCCAGAAGAGUUCCAAUUCACUAUAUGUAUCUUUGUAUCAAUUCUCAUUUUGAUGAUUCAAUCCUUUGAGGAAGUACUGAAAGGUUUUUUUUGGUAAAUAGGUAUUGAAAGGUUAGUUGUUUACCAUGUAUGCGGAUGUGCUUAUUGUUCUUGCAUUACUGCAGCCACGACAAUGUAGAGAAUUUGGAGUGUAAAUCUGGCCCGCGACAGCAUUGUUAAUGCUCUAG